UACGUAGGGACCGAGCGUUGUCCGGAUUCAUUGGGCGUAAAGAGCUCGUAGGCGGUGUGUCGCGUCGGCCGUGAAAACCUGGGGCUUAACUCUGGGCGUGCGGUCGAUACGGGCAUCACUAGAGUUCGGCAGGGGAGACUGGAAUUCCUGGUGUAGCGGUGAAAUGCGCAGAUAUCAGGAGGAACACCAAUGGCGAAGGCAGCUCGCUGGGACGGUACUGACGCUGAGGCGCGAAAGCGUGGGGAGCAAACAGG
rnacentral:rRNA from 1 species